UAUGCCAUUAAAAUAUUUGUGCCCUAAAAAUAACUGCAUCAUAUGGUACCGGUUUAUAAUUUAAUCAGCAUCAUAAUGUGCUAUGUUCAUAACAAAUAUAUAUUAUAUUUGUUUUAGCAUUUUUGCUUUUAAAAUACAAGCUUAUGUAAUCUGCAAUUGGCAUAUCAUUUUCUUUGAUGGUGUGGACUUCCUUGUUUACACCAUAGACAUAUAUAACAGUUUACACAACAAAGAAAUAUCAAUUUUGAUAUAGUAAGAUGAGAAAAAAGACUUCAUUUAUUGGUAUUACAAAGGUAAUUAAAAGUAAUUAAAAGUGAGGCCGAAACGACUAGGGCCGAAACGACAUUAGGCCGAAACUACUAACGGCCGAAAAAACUUGGGGCCGAACUGAAAAAAGGCCGAAACGACCAGAAAUCUUAUUUUCUGUGUUAUAUAGUAUCAGAUCAGUGUAUCAUUAUUUUCUGUGUUAUAUAGUAUCAGAUCAGUGUAUCAUUAUUUUCUGUGUUAUAUAGUAUCAGAUCAGUGUAUCAUUAUUUUCUGUUCUUAUUUUUCCUGGUCACAGAUUAUAAAAUGAAUAAUCAAAUUCAAAGUCGAAAAAAAAAAAAAAAAAAAAACCCAACAACAUUCAGUGAGAAUUUUAAAGCUGCAUUAUUUUGUAUAACGCUCUAGUCUCAUAAUCAAGUUUUUGCUUUGUUAUUAUUAAAAUACCCUAGUUAAAGUAUUCAACUCACGACUCAAACAUGCAUGUCUCUUGAUUGGAUGAUCAAAUUAUCCCCUAAUUAUUUCACUGUAUCUACUAUCUAAUAGUGAUACUGACAUAUCCCAAGAUUUACAAAUGCAUUUAAUCAAAAUACGUACCCCCUCCCUCCACACACACAACCAAUCCCUAAAGCAAAUACAUAUAUAUAGCCGUAAAAUCUGUAUUCAUCUCAUGAAUCACAUUAAUAUUUAUUGGAGUUGUUCGUUAUUAGUCUUGUUGAGUACUUUUUGGGUCCUUUUGUGUUCUCUUGGGUUCUUUUUGGGAAAAUCGACAUAUCGAUAUAUUCUCAACGUUUUAGUCUAACUAAUUUAUCUUUAUUUGUGUGUGUGUGUUUUUUUUUUUUUUGGUUGUUUUUUAUUUGUUAUUCAUCUAUUCAGUUUUGUUUUACUUUGGAAUUUAACACACCCUAAAUUCCACCCCCUUUUAAAAAAUAAUACGAAUAAUUUCAUGUUACUAUCCGGAAAUAAAUUCCGAAUAUGCUUUACGUCUUACAAUUUUGGGACACCUAUCGGGAAAAAUAACAAUGGCCGGCCAAACUUCGUGUACAACAGACAGAACAGAAAGCAGUUGACGAAGAUGGAAGAUGACGACAGAAAACAGAAACUAAAGGCCGGAAAACAGAAGUUGGCAGAAUUUCAGAAGAAAAGAAAGAAAAAGAAAAGCUUGCCACAAGAAGAAGAUGAAAAAGAAA